rnacentral:rRNA from 1 species
UGGGGAAUUUUGGACAAUGGGCGAAAGCCUGAUCCAGCAAUGCCGCGUGUGUGAAGAAGGCCUUCGGGUUGUAAAGCACUUUUGUCCGGAAAGAAAUCCUUGGCUCUAAUACAGUCGGGGGAUGACGGUACCGGAAGAAUAAGCACCGGCUAACUACGUGCCAGCAGCCGCGGUAAUACGUAGGGUGCAAGCGUUAAUCGGAAUUACUGGGCGUAAAGCGUGCGCAGGCGGUUUGCUAAGACCGAUGUGAAAUCCCCGGGCUCAACCUGGGAACUGCAUUGGUGACUGGCAGGCUAGAGUAUGGCAGAGGGGGGUAGAAUUCCACGUGUAGCAGUGAAAUGCGUAGAGAUGUGGAGGAAUACCGAUGGCGAAGGCAGCCCCCUGGGCCAAUACUGACGCUCAUGCACGAAAGCGUGGGGGAGCAAACAGGAUUAGAUACCCUGGUAGUCCACGCCCUAAACGAUGUCAACUAGUUGUUGGGGAUUCAUUUCCUUAGUAACGUAGCUAACGCGUGAAGUUGACCGCCUGGGGGAGUACGGUCGCAAGAUUAAAACUCAAAGGAAUUGACGGGGUCAUAGCUGUUUCC